CGAGUGGCGGACGGGUGAGUAACGCGUGGGAAUCUACCUAUGAGUGGGGGGAUAAACUUGGGGAAACCCAAGCUAAUACCGCAUGUGGUCUACGGGACUAAAGCAGGGGAUCUUCGGACCUUGCGCUAAUAGAUGAGCCCGCGUUAGAUUAGCUAGUUGGUGGGGUAAAGGCCCACCAAGGCGACGAUCUAUAGCUGUUCUGAGAGGAAGAUCAGCCACACCGGGACUGAGACACGGCCCAG
rnacentral:rRNA from 1 species